rnacentral:rRNA from 1 species
AGUGAACGCUGGCGGUAGGCCUAACACAUGCAAGUCGAACGGCAGCACAGGAGAGCCUGCUCUCUAGGUGGCGAGUGGCGGACGGGUGAGGAAUACAUCGGAAUCUGCCCAGUCGUGGGGGAUAACGUAGGGAAACUUACGCUAAUACCGCAUACGACCUUCGGGUGAAAGAGGGGGAUCGCAAGACCUCUCGCGAUUGGAUGAGCCGAUGUCGGAUUAGCUAGUUAGCGGGGUAAUGGCCCACCAAGGCGACGAUCCGUAGCUGGUCUGAGAGGAUGAUCAGCCACACUGGAACUGAGACACGGUCCAGACUCCUACGGGAGGCAGCAGUGGGGAAUAUUGGACAAUGGGCGCAAGCCUGAUCCAGCCAUACCGCGUGGGUGAAGAAGGCCUUCGGGUUGUAAAGCCCUUUUGUUGGGAAAGAAAUCUUUCAGGCUAAUACCCUGGGAGGAUGACGGUACCCAAAGAAUAAGCACCGGCUAACUUC